rnacentral:rRNA from 1 species
CCUACGGGAGGCAGCAGUGAGGAAUAUUGGUCAAUGGGCGGGAGCCUGAACCAGCCAAGUAGCGUGCGGGAUGAAGGCCCUACGGGUCGUAAACCUCUUUUGCACGGGGAUAACACACUCCACGUGUGGCGUUCUGCAGGUACCCUGCGAAUAAGGGCCGGCUAAUUCCGUGCCAGCAGCCGCGGUAAUACGGAAGGCCCGAGCGUUAUCCGGAUUCAUUGGGCUUAAAGGGAGCGUAGGCGGGCGAUCAAGUCAGCGGUAAAAUCGCGAGGCUCAACCGCGCCCCGCAGUUGAAACUGGACGCCUUGAGUGGACAAGAGGCAGGCGGAAUGCGUGGUGUAGCGGUGAAAUGCAUAGAUAUCACGAGGAACCCCGAUUGCGAAGGCAGCCUGCCGGGGUGCGACUGACGCUGAGGCUCGAAGGUGCGGGUAUCAAACAGGAUUAGAUACCCUGGUAGUC